ACCACACAGGGAAAAAGUGACGGCAGGGGAUCCACUCAAUCCACGUCUGGAUUAAUUCCACUUGUUGAUUAUAACCACGACUACCGAACAUAGCCUUACUAAUAAAUCUUCAUAGCUACAGUGAAUAAGAUAAAAACUCCACUAAAACUAGAAAAUUGAGUGGGAGCUGUGCCCAACGUGGGUCCGCCUCUGCCUUCACCAAUCGUCGCCCCCAGGAUCUCCAUUGCUCUGCUCUACGCCUCUACCCGAUGGUCCGUCCGUCCUCAUGUCCAGAGAGGAACAGGUGCUCCAACGGCCUCUACCACCAAUGAUGCGACGGUGAUGAAUAAAAUUAGCCUGAAAUUAGAUUGAAUAGAGAAUAACAUACCUAACAUACUUGCAGGUUUUGGAUCGAUGCUCCACCGACGAGGUGAUGCCAGGCUGCUCCCCUGCUCUGGAUCAGAUCGAUUGGCCGCAACUUCUGGAACACAGGUGCGGCGGCGAAAUAGCUAGGCACCAAAAGUAUGUGCGAUAGGAAAAUGAAACUAAUUCCGAUUAUAGGGUUCAUUGGAGGAUAAUAUGUUUUAGUGCCCCGAACUCUUCAAAGAAGUAGUAUCUGGCUCUAUUAAGGCUUGUUCGGUUACACCAAUCUAGAAGGAGAUUGGAGGGGUUUAAAUCUCCUCCUAGUAUACCCUUAUAGGACACAUUCUUGGAGAUACUCUGAGUGAUCAGCCUAAUUUGGAAACUCCCACAUGCUUCCAAUUUCCAAAGUACUCCCUUUGUCCCAGCAUAAAUACUACUAGGUAGGUGCCCGUGCGAUGCCACGGAACAUAAAUCUCGAUUUGUAUAUCAGAUAUGCUUCCUGUGAAGCAAGGAAGCGAACGCAAGCC
rnacentral:lncRNA from 1 species